rnacentral:rRNA from 1 species
GACAGAGGGUGCAAACGUUGUUCGGAAUUACUGGGCGUAAAGCGUGUGUAGGCGGCUUUGCAAGUCGGAUGUGAAAGCCCCGGGCUCAACCCGGGAAGUGCAUUCGAAACUGCAGGGCUAGAGUCCUGGAGAGGAAGGUGGAAUGCUUGGUGUAGAGGUGAAAUUCGUAGAUAUCAAGCGGAACACCGGUGGCGAAGGCGGCCUUCUGGACAGUGACUGACGCUGAGACGCGAAAGCGUGGGGAGCAAACAGG